UACAAUUAGAGUUUGAUCUUGGCUCAGGAUGAACGCUGGCGGCGUGGAUAAGGCAUNNNNNNNNNNNNNNNNNNNNNNNNNNNNNACACGUGGGUAUUUCCCCCAGAGUCUGGCAUAACUAGCUGAAAGGUUAGACAAUUCCAGAUGGUCUCCAAGGAGUAAAGUGGCAACACGCUCUGGGAAAAGCCUGCGAAGUAUCAGCUAGUUGGUAGGGUAAUGGCCUACCAAGGCAAUGACGCUUAGGGGAGGUGAGAGCCUGACCCCCACCGAUGGGACUGAGACACGGCCCAUACACCUACGGGUGGCUGCAGUCGAGAAUCNNNNNNNNNNNNNNNNNNNNGCGGAUGACGGUACCUUAAGAAUAAGGGGCUGCAAAACUCGUGCCAGCAGCAGCGGUAAAACGAGUGCCCCAAGCGUUAUCCGGAAUUACUGGGCAUAAAGGGUGCGUAGGUGGUCUGAUUAGUCGUCUGUUAAAACUCCCGGCCCAACCGGGAAGGUGCAGACGAAACGGUCAGACUAGAGAGAGCGAGAGGUUAGCAGAACUCAUGGUGUAGGGGUGAAAUCCGUUGAUAUCAUGGGGAAUACCGAAGGCGAAGGCAGCUAACUGGCGCUUAUUCUGACACUCCAGCACGAAAGCGUGGGUCGCGAACGGGAUUAGAUACCCCGGUAGUCCACGCCCUAAACGAUGAUCACUAGCUUUUUGGAGUAUCGACCCUCUGAGAGGCACAGCAAACGCGUUAAGUGAUCCGCCUGGGAAGUACGGCCGCAAGGCUAAAACUCAAAAGAAUAGACGGGGGCUCGCACAAGUGGUGGAUUAUGUGGUUUAAUUCGACGCUAAACGAAGAACCUCACCAAGGCUUGAAAUUCAGUUGUAAUCUUGCCGAAAGGCAGGACCUCCCACAAGGACUACUGGACAGGUGAUGCAUGGUUGUCGUCAGUUCGUGGCUUGAGUUGUUCCCUUCAGUGGGGAAACGAACGCAACCCCUGUGGCCUGUUACAAGUGUCAGGUCAGACUGUCCCGCUCAGCGGGAAGGAAGCGGGGAUGACGCCAAAUCAGCAUGUCCCUUUGACGCCUUGGGCUACACACAUAAUACAAUGGUCGCUACAAUGAGACGCAAUACCGUAAGGUGGAGCAAAUCUAUAAAAGCGGCCUCAGUUCGGAUUGAGGUCUGCAACCCGACCUCAUGAAGCCGGAAUCACUAGUAAUCGCAGGUCAGCUAUACUGCGGUGAAUACGUUCU
rfam:Bacterium CG10_49_38 isolate CG10_49_38 CG10_big_fil_rev_8_21_14_0.10_scaffold_12250, whole genome shotgun sequence.